rnacentral:rRNA from 1 species
UACGGAGGAUUCGAGCGUUAUCCGGAGUUAUUGGGUGUAAAGCGUGCGUAGGCGGACUGGUAAGUCAGCUGUGAAAGUUUACGGCUCAACCGUGGAAUUGCAGUUGAUACUGUUGGUCUUGAGUAUAGAUGAGGUGGGCGGAAUUUGUGGUGUAGCGGUGAAAUGCUUAGAUAUCACAAAGAACUCCAAUUGCGAAGGCAGCUCACUGGAGUAUAACUGACGCUCAUGCACGAAGGUGUGGGUAUCAAACAGG